GUCUCACCAGGCUGGAGUGCAGUGGUGGGAUCUCUGCUCACUACAAUCUCUGCCUCCCGGAUUCAAGUGAUUCUCAUGCCUCAGCCACCUGAGCAGCUGGGACUACAGGUAGUGGAUCGUCAUGCACUUCCUCACAUCCUGAGCUUCCAUCCACGCUGAUCCCAGAAGGGUGACUCUAGUUUCACGAGUCUCGACAGCCACUCUUGAAAAACGAAUGAAUAACCUCGCUUGAUAAGAAGAAAUAAUUUUGAAAAUGGGAGGCAUUGUAGAUUCUGGGAUGACAUUGGGUCAGUUUGUUCCUGGACCAAACACGGCUUGCUCCAUCAGGCACCCUGGCAAC